GUGGGGAAUAUUGGACAAUGGGCGCAAGCCUGAUCCAGCAAUGCCGCGUGGGUGAAGAAGGUCUUCGGAUCGUAAAGCCCUUUCGACAGGGACGAUGAUGACGGUACCUGUAGAAGAAGCCCCGGCUAACUUCGUGCCAGCAGCCGCGGUAAUACGAAGGGGGCUAGCGUUACUCGGAAUUACUGGGCGUAAAGGGCGCGUAGGCGGCUCUGUUAGUCAGGCGUGAAAUUCCUGGGCUUAACCUGGGGACUGCGCUUGAUACUGCAGGGCUUGAGGCCGAGAGAGGGUGGUGGAAUUCCCAGUGUAGAGGUGAAAUUCGUAGAUAGUGGGAAGAACACCGGUGGCGAAGGCGACCACCUGGCUCGGUUCUGACGCUGAGGCGCGACAGCGUGGGGAGCAAACAGGAUUAGAAACCCUUGUAGUCC
rnacentral:rRNA from 1 species